AGAGUCUUUUAUUUCUAAACUAUAAUUGAUGGAAAUGUUUUAUUUGAGCAACUAAGUUCCAAUUCGGCUUUUAACCGUCGUUGCGCAUAUUUGACAUUUCCAUCAGUUAUAGUUUAGAAAUAAAAGAGACUGAUGCUUUGGCUUGAUGCAUUUCUGAACGCACCCAUAGCAUAAAUUUUAA